GUGAUUAUAAGCGCAUCUUUUUUAACAAAGAGCGUGACCCUCACUUUUCAAACUCUGUGCACUUUUUUUUGGCAAAGGUUUAAGAAUUUUUCGGGUGCGGUUAACUCCAACCCGAAAGUUCUCUUUGCGGCUCAUUUUUUAAAAAACACUAUAGUCAGAGUAUGUAAUGAAAUUUAAUAACAAAAAAAACUUUCAACAACGGAUCUCUUGGCUCUCGCAUCGAUGAAGAACGCAGCGAAAUGUGAUAAGUAAUGUGAAUUGCAGAAUUCAGUGAAUCAUCGAAUCUUUGAACGCAUCUUGCGCUCGCUGGUAUUCCGGCGAGCAUGUCUGUUUGAGUGUCGUGAACUCUUCAACCCCCAAUUUUUUGUAAUGAAAUUUUGGAGUGGCUUGGUUUCUGAGCGUUUGCUGGAUUAGUAAUAAUCGAAGCUCGUUCGUAAUAAAUUAGCAUCCUUCUCUUCGAGAUCAGAUUGACUCGGCGUAAUAGACUAUUCGCUGAGGACAUUCCUAUUCUGGAAUGGCUGAACUUUU
rnacentral:misc_RNA from 1 species